GCCCACCACCUAGCUCAGCCCAACCCUCAAAAAAUAAAACUAAUAAACCCAAAACAUUUGCCACGCUAAGUAUAUGAGAUAGAACAGCACUAUUGACGCAAUAGCCCACGCCGUACCACAAGGAAACAGUGAAAGAAUAAUCAAACAACUAAGCACAGAAAAGCAGGAAUUACACCCCGUACCUCUAGCAUCAUGGUUUAGCAAGCAAAAGCAGAUACAGAGCACUUAAACCUGCCCCCCCGAACCCGGACGAGCUACCUAAGGACAGCCUAUGGGGCCAACCCAUCUCUGUGGCAAAAGAGUGGGAAGAUCCUCAGGUAGAGGUGAAACGCCAACCGAGCCCGGUAAUAGCUGGUUGCUCAUUAAAUGAAUCUAAGUUCAACUCUAGCACCAUAUAAUACCAACAAAUACCAAGGCUAGAAGAUACGCCACAGGGGACCAGCUCUGUGGCAACUGGAUACAGCCAAAACUAGAGGGCCACUACCCAAACACCAUCCCGUGGGCCUUCAAGCAGCCACCAAUAACAACCGCGUCAAAGCGGACCUUCAUAUAAUCCAACAGACAAACUUAACCCCCUAACACAAACUGAGCUACCCUAUAUAAAAAUAGGGGCACCACUGCUAAAACUAGUAAUAUGGGCACGCCCUACUUGCACCUGCUUACGUAUAAACAAUUAACAUGCCACUACAUGCCAACCAGGAACCCAUGUCUCAGUCAGCUUGUUACCCCGACACAGGACUGCAACAUUAAGAUUAACAGCCACAGAAGGAACUCGGCUAACGUACCCCACCUGUUUACCAAAAACACCGCCUUUAGCCUUACAAGUAUUAAAGGUCCCGCCUGCCCAGUGAAACUUAUUUUUUUAACGGCCGCGGUAUCCUAACCGUGCAAAGGUAGCGCAAUCACUUGUCCCCUAAAUAGGGACCCGUAUGAAUGGCUAACUGAGGGUACAACUGUCUCCUGCGGCCAAUCAAUGAAACUGAUCCCCCAGUACAAAAGCUGGGAUUUUAACACAAGACGAGAAGACCCUGUGGAACUUUUAACGUAUCCACUACCACCACACAAGCCUAUAACUGGGCCAAAACCUUCUGCAAUAGUGGACACUUUAAGUUGGGGCGACUGCGGAGCAAAACAAACCCUCCGUGAAACAGGGCUCACCGCCUUUCAAGGCAAACACGCCUACAAAACCAACCAUAUGACCCAGAUAACUGAGCAACGAACCAAGCUACCCCAGGGAUAACAGCGCCAUCCCCCCUAAGAGUCCAUAUCGAUGGGGGGGUUUACGACCUCGAUGUUGGAUCAGGACCCCCAAGUGGUGCAGCCGCUACUAAAGGCCCGUUUGUUCAACGGUUAAUGUCCUACGUGAUCUGAGUUCAGACCGGAGCAAUCCAGGUCGGUUUCUACCUGUGCCAUAUCUUCUUUAGUACGAAAGGACCAAGAAGACAGUGCCAAUACCACACGCAAGCACUGCUCAUGCGAGCUGAACAAAAAUAAAGCUGAAUCUGACGUCCCCCACGUCCGAUACAAGGACUA
rnacentral:rRNA from 1 species